GACGAACGCUGGCGGCGUGCUUAACACAUGCAAGUCGAGCGGUAAGGCCCUUUCGGGGGUACACGAGCGGCGAACGGGUGAGUAACACGUGGGUGACCUGCCUUUAGCUCUGGGAUAAGCCUGGGAAACUGGGUCUAAUACCGGAUAUGACCCUAUGGCGCAUGUUGUGGGGUGGAAAGCCUUGUGCGGCUAGGGAUGGGCCCGCGGCCCAUCAGCUUGUUGGUGGGGUGAUGGCCUACCAAGGCGACGACGGGUAGCCGGCCUGAGAGGGCGACCGGCCACACUGGGACUGAGACACGGCCCAGACUCCUACGGGAGGCAGCAGUGGGGAAUCUUGCGCAAUGGGCGAAAGCCUGACGCAGCGACGCCGCGUGAGGGAUGACGGCCUCGGUUGUAA
rnacentral:rRNA from 1 species